UGGCGCGUUCGCCCGCCGGCCGCGGCAACCCCGAGCCCGUGGCGCACCGCAGUCCAGCGCCCUGCACCCGCCUCGCCCCGCCUCGGCGCUUGCGCCUCUCCCUCUGCGCACAACCGCACAGGCCACCUCCCCGGCUGCCCAGCUCCGGUCUCCCUCCUCCAGCGGCCCACGCCGGCCUUCCACCUCCCUGUUUCCGUACAGCACCUCCCGAGCUCAUCACAACAGCUGGCACCUGACCUGUCCUUUUGCGCCUAACGACAGAAUUAGAAUGUGGGGACAUCAAGGCAGCGAACAGUGUCAGCUCGCCUCCUAAACCGCAGGCACCGGCCUUGAGGAAACAGUGGUCUGCGAGGGUGUCAUGGAGGGGCUCUGUCAACAAGUUAUUCAAGAAACACGUGGGAACUUAACCAGCUGUACCCUUAGGUAAAGCCGCCUUCCACGACGUGCCUUCCUCACUCCAAACUCUGGACAUUUGUGUGACAUACAUGUGGGUGACACACGUCCUGGCUUUCCACACCCGCAAAGGUCACCACCUCAGGAACGUUGUAAGUUGGAACAGUCCUUCCUCCUUCAUGGUGUCUUUUUGUGCUCUCUCAGCAACCUCAUUCUACUUUUGUAACCACUGUCAGGACACUUCUUCCUGAAAGGAACUCCCAAGUCUUAGGGGAAGGGAUGUGCAGCGCAGUGACCCUGCACAGCAGGCGCCGCUCCAAAGGCCAGGAGCCACCUGCUUCUCAGCUCACGUGGAAGCAAACUUCCAGGUCAAAGCCAAGUGCUGAAGAACCCAGCUAACUACUGUGAUGCUAGGACCUGCAGCAGCACCAGCCCACUGGAGCAGGAGAAGGAACAGAGGACUGGGCAGAGGAGAGGGCAGGAGAACACUCCCAAGCCCCCAGCCCCAGCAAGGAAUGUCAUCAAAGCAUAUUUGAGCCUGAAAAGUCCUUCGAGCUAUUUUAAUCCAAACACCUCAUUUUAAAGACAAGAAAACUGAUGCCCAGGAUCUCCCUAAGACAUCCACAAUGUGACUGAAUAUCAUUCCCUUGAGCACUUAUUGAUCUCCUCCAAGACAAGCUGCUAGUGGGGAGGCAGAUACAGAAGAGUGAAUCACCAGAUCCUCAUUGAACUCAGAGCUGGACGGAACUAACAAAUACCAUCUGAAUAGAUCAGAGAAUCAGAAGUUAAGGCACAGAAGCCAGGGUUGGAGGACAGUAGGGAGGGGUCCAGAAACUGCUUGAGGCGGGGCUGCAGGUGCCAGGCGUUGGGGGAGCCCGUCUCAUGUUAUAUGAGAAAAAAAAUCCCCCUAUGCUGAAAAAGUCCACUUUCCUUCCAGAUUUACUGCUAGUCACGGGAAGUCCUCCCUCCACAGCCUCCAUAACAUAGGUCUCAAGGGAGCAGGCUGCUGUUUUAAUGUGUCUUCCAGGCACACAUCAUAGUGGGGCCCUCAUAAGGAGCACCUUGGGGACUUUUCCAGUGUAGCAACAACCACAAACUGCAUGUGACAAUGUUCACAUUUCCAGCAAAAUGGGGUCACAAAGAGAACUCUGUCUUACAAACCAGGUUCCAGACGCAGAUCCUCCUCAAUUCCCUGGAGGUGAAUCCUGUUCAGAUCACAUACAGGAUGGCCUGCUCAAAGAAGCAGUCACCACCAGAUGCAGUGUGUCUUUGCAAGGAGCGUUCUUCCAGGGGCCUCACAACAACUCCUGAACUCUGAUUGUGCCCAACCACAGAACUAUACUCACCUCAUGAAAGCCACUAUGUCCCUAGUUGCAAGUAAUGAUCUCAUAAGGAGUGAAGAAAAUAAUUCACUGUCUAGGGCCUUCUCUAGUCAGACCACAGGCCUGAGGAGCCGUUUCUCUGCUCCUCAACUGUGGCACCUGGGGUAUUCUAAUGAUUAAUUCCUGUAUCUCUUUCAGUCAUCUUUGAAAAGGGUAUUGGAAUUGUUUGGUUAGCUUUCUACUAACACCAGCCCCUCACUCAAUGCUGUACCAAAGUUAACAGCCCUGGUGUCUACUAAACGUUUUCCUUUGGGCUCAUUUAAUCAUAUAUCGUGCACACAGGCACACACACACCCUCACGCGCACACACAGCAUCUUAGCUUAACUCUGUGAAUCGCCUCUUCUUCUUCUUUGUCCAAGUUUUGCUUUAAAAUAGUUGAUAUUUUUCUCAUCAGUUCAUAAGAGUUCUUUGUAGCUUUUAGUUAUUAACACUUUUCCUGCAAUGUAUUUUACAGAUACUUUUUUCAGAAAUAGCUGGUUUCUACUGAUUUGUGUUACUUUUCCAUGCAAUGGUUUUUGAUUACAUAAGCAAGGAUACAGGGUUUUCAAUAUGUUUUAAAAAUAUCCUUCAGGAUACAUUUCAUAGUUAAUAAAUUUGAAAUUGGUGACAGUUGACUCUUUUCUGUAGACCAUAAUAAUUUUAAUUAAGAAAAUACUUUCUUCAGUACUCAAAUACCUACCAGAUUCAGGAAAAAUUCCAAGUGAAAUAUAGUCUUCAUUUUCCUGUUUUGAUAUUACAGUAUGUAAAGUUAUUUUCAAAAAUAUUAUCUUUUGCUUAUGUUACCUUUUCUUGAAGAAAAAUUAUGACAACGAAUCUCAUCAAACAAAUUGUGUCUAUUUAUAGUUCUGGUUACUGUUUAACCAAAUUUAGAUACCUAGAAAUCACAGGCCUUCUAACGUUCAGUAUACUUUGAAUUCUGCUAAAAAUUAUAAAUAUAUCCUGUUAAAAACAGUAGUUUCAUGAAAAGAUUCUUACAAGUCCCAGUAUUCCACGUACAAUUAUAAAACUUCCAAAUGAAAGCCUGUGUGCUGUGUUUGAGUUCUUAUUAUCUAAUCUGCUCAGGUUCUACAUUGUAUUUAUAAGGAUAAACUCUGGCUGGGAGUAUAGCUCAGUUGGUAGAGUGCUUGCCUUGCAUGCAUAAGGCCAUGGGUUCAAUCCCCAGCACCAAAAUGAUGAUCAGUAAGGAUAAGUUCUAGUGCCCUCCUGUUUGCAAGCUUAAUUUUCCAUUAGUGCAAUUUGUAAAAUUUCAAAAGGUGACUAUUUUGCCUACUUAUCUUAAUUAAAAAUUUCCAACAAAAUACAACCAAAACUUUCUUUUGCAAAAAGAAAAAAAUCCAUAUUAUAGUAGGCACAGACUUACACAGUAGCUCUUCAAAGAUUCAAAACAUUCCUAAAAUCAGAUUGAUAAUGGUCUGCAAAGAGGAAAAAACAUGUAUUACCUCCUGAAGGAUGCUUUAUAUGCAACAUUGGUUUCGUCACAAAAAAAUUGUAAUUCAACUACUUAGCAUAUACAGAAAAAUACUGAUGAAUUUUGGCAACUAUUUUUAUUGCAGUAGAAUAUUUCUAUUGCAAUGGGUUACAUAUGUCAUUUUCUGCUCCAUGGAUUUCUUUCAUAAGCAAUUCCAUUGUUUAUAUUCUGACACAAAAUACUUAUUUGCAUGUUCACAGAAAAAAUAAAUAAUUUUCAGUGAUU